GGAAUUGUUCGCAAUGGGCGAAAGCCUGACGACGCAACGCCGCGUGGAGGAUGAAGAUCUUCGGGUCGUAAACUCCUUUCGAUCGAGACGAAUGGCCUCCGGGUCAAUAGCCCGGAGGAGUGACGGUACCGAGAGAAGAAGCCCCGGCUAACCCCGUGCCCGCAGCCGCGGUAAUACGGGGGGGGCAAGCGUUGUUCGGAAUUACUGGGCGUAAAGGGCUCGUAGGCGGCCGACUAAGUCACACGUGAAAUCCCUCGGCUCAACCGGGGAACUGCGUGUGAUACUGGACGGCUUGAGUUCGGGAGAGGGAUGCGGAAUUCCAGGUGUAGCGGUGAAAUGCGUAGAUAUCUGGAGGAACACCGGUGGCGAAGGCGGCAUCCUGGACCGGCACUGACGCUGAGGAGCGAAAGCCAGGGGAGCAAAC
rnacentral:rRNA from 1 species